rnacentral:rRNA from 1 species
GACGAACGCUGGCGGCGUGCUUAACACAUGCAAGUCGAGCGGAGCGGCGGACGGGUGAGUAACGCGUGAGUAACUGCCCCCCUCUCUGGGUAAACAGUUGGAAACGGCAGCUAAUAACGGCAAGUGGGGGAUGAUUCGCGUCCUAUCAGCUUGUUGGUGGGGUAGGGGUCUACCAAGGGGACGACGGGUAGCCGGCCUGAGAGGGCGUCCGGCCACAUUGGGCUAAGAGACGGCCCAAACUCCUACUGGCGGCAGCAGUGGGGAGUAUUGCACAAUGGGGGAAACCCUGAUUCAGCAAUCCGCGUGCGGAAUGACGGCCUUCGGGUUGUAAACCGCUUUCAGCCAUGACGCGGUAGUGGCAGAAGAAGCACCGGCUAACUACGUGCCAGCAGCCGCGGUAAUUC